rnacentral:rRNA from 1 species
ACUCAAAUGAAUUGACGGGGAGGCGCACAAGCAGUGGAGCAUGUGGUUUAAUUCGAGACAAAGCGAAAAACCUCACCAGGAUUUGACAUGGACCUGCAAGCGCACGGAAACGUGUGACCUUCGAGGGUGGUCCACAGAUGCUGCAUGGCUGUCGUCAGUUCGUGGCGUGAGCUGUACCCUUAAGUGGGACAACGAACGCAACCCGCAUCAUAUGUUAAAUAAUUCAUAUGAAACUGCCCCGAUUAUAUCGGGGAGGAAGGCGCGGAUGAUGUCAAGUCCGCACGGCUCUUACAUCCUGGGCUACACACAUCCUACAAUGGACAACAACAACGAGCUGCAAGCCGGUAACGGCAAGCUAAUCUCUAAAAUUUGUCCUCAGUUCAGAUUGGGGUCUGCAAUUCGACCCCAUGAAGUCGGAAUUGCUAGUAAUCGCGAAUCAGCAGGUCGCGGUGAAUACGUUCUCGCCUCUUGUACACACCGCCCGU